rnacentral:lncRNA from 10 species
GAACAGAGAGGGGAAAAAAAAAGAAAGGAUGAUGUCCAAACAACAGACAUGGAACCAUGAACAAGCAAACUAAAGGGAGCCUUAAUACAUUCACCCUAUGUGAGACCAGCCAGAAUGAGGACUCCUCAAGGACCAACUUUCCCCGAAGGUCUGUCCUCAAUAAAUUACUUACUGUAUAUAUGUUGAUCAAGUCUUAAAAUAUAUUCUCACUUGUAUUAAUUUUCCUACCAAAGUGGCAAAUGUUCUUAAAACAUGAAUUUUUCUGAUGUUUGAAUAUAACUCAUUCAAAUCAACUAGAUAUUUUCUCAAAGUUUAAAUGUGGUUGUAUAGAAAGGAUCUGUCAUUUUUAUAGUAAACUACAUUAAGCAGUUAGAUAGGUAAAUAGAUAACAUGGUAUAAUAAAACAUAUAUUUAGUCUUUGUUCCUGGGUCCUGACAAACCCCUUGGCAUUUUCAAGUUUUAGGAGUAUCUUUGUUGUGCUAAUGAAGUGACUACUGGUGAGUAGGUAGGGGUGGAGAUAGUUUCAGGAAAGGGGUUUCUAACCAGAAAGACCUAUCAUGUAAUUAGAGGGUUGGCAUUUUGAGUCAGCUGGAAGAGAAGAGGGAGGCUGGAGACUGAGUUCCAUCAGGUUGCCAGUGAUUUACUCAACCAUGUCUGUCUAAUGACAACCCAGUGAAAAUUCUGGAAUGUGAGGUUCAGUGGAUCUUUUGGUUGGCAAAUAUGUUGCAGUGCUGGGAAGAUGCUGUGCCCACCUUCCAGGAGGGGAGUGUGCAGAAGCUGUGCAUGAAGAGCUCACACUCAGACCUCACACUACAUGUCUCUGCUUGGGUUGC